AUGGGAAGAAUGAGCAGUGGUUUGGAGGUUGCGAUAAAAGUUCUUGACAUGCAGCUCGAGCAGGCCAUUCGAAGUUCUGAUGUUGAGUGUCGAGUACUUCGCAUGGCGCGGCACCGCAACCUGAUCAAGAUACUCAACACGUGCUCUAACCUUGACUUUAGAGCACUGGUGCUUCAAUACAUGCCAAAUGGAAGCUUAGAGACACUCCUACACCGGUCUGAGGGUACACGGCACGUGGGGUUCCUAGAGAGACUGGACAUCAUGCUCGAUGUGUCAAUGGCAGUUGAGUACCUGCACCAUGAUCACUAUGAGCUGAUCUUGCACUGUGACUUGAAGCCUAGCAAUGUGUUGUUUGAUGAAGAGAUGACUGCACAUGUGGCAGACUUCGGCAUUGCAAGGUGGCUUCUUGGUGAUGACAACUCUAUGAUAUGUACGAGCAUGCCCGGAACGGUUGGAUACAUGGCACCAGAGUACGGUUCACUCGGAAAAGCAUCACGGAAGAGCGACGUGAUUAGUUACGGGAUUAUGCUUCUUGAAGUCUUCACUAGAAGAAAGCCAACUGACGCCAUGUUUGAUGCACAGCUAACCUUUAGGCAAUGGGUUUGUCAGGCAUUUCCCGCGGAGCUUGUCCAAGUCAUCGAUGGUCAGCUACUGCAAGGCUCCCCUCUUUAUAGCUGCAGUUUGGAAAAUGGCUCUCUUGCAUCUCUGCUCGAGUUGGGUUUGGUCUGUUGCAGCGACUCGCCUGACCAAAGAACGACGAUGCGUGAUGUGGUCGUGACGUUGAAGAAGAUCAAAGCCGAAUAC
rnacentral:rRNA from 1 species